UACGAAGGGGGCUAGCGUUGCUCGGAAUCACUGGGCGUAAAGCGCACGUAGGCGGCUUCUUAAGUCAGGGGUGAAAUCCUGGAGCUCAACUCCAGAACUGCCUUUGAUACUGAGAGCUUGAGUCCGGGAGAGGUGAGUGGAACUGCGAGUGUAGAGGUGAAAUUCGUAGAUAUUCGCAAGAACACCAGUGGCGAAGGCGGCUCACUGGCCCGGUACUGACGCUGAGGCGCGAAAGCGUGGGGAGCAAACAGG
rnacentral:rRNA from 1 species